rnacentral:rRNA from 1 species
GAUGAACGCUGGCGGCGUGCUUAACACAUGCAAGUCGAACGGACAGGCCCUGCUUUUGUGGCGCGCUCGAGUGGCGAACGCGUGAGUAACACGUGAGUAACCUGCCCUUGUCUUUGGGGUAUCUUCUGGAAACUGGGGCUCAUACAGGAUAGGAGCUACUGCAGCAUGGUGGGGAUUAGAAAGAUUCGGCGGUUGGGGAUGGACUGGCGGGUUCUCCGCUUGUUGGUGGGGUAGUGGCUUACCAAGUCUUCGACGGGUAGGCGGCCUGAGAGGGUGGACGGGCACAAGGGGACUGAGGGAGGGCGCAGUCGGGAAUGGGAGGCAGCAGGGGGGAGGAUGGCGGAAUGAGGGGAAGCGAGAUGUAGCGACGCUGGGUUCGUGAAGAUGGCUUACGAGGUGUAAACCACUGUCUCAUGUGACGUAGAGUGAUUGACGGUAAUGGGUAAAGAAGCAACGGCUAACUACGUG